GGAUGCGAUCAUACCAGCACUAAUGCACCGGAUCCCAUCAGAACUCCGAAGUUAAGCGUGCUUGGCGAGAGUAGUACUAGGAUGGGUGAGGACCCCCUGGGAAGUCCUCGUGUUGCAUCCC
rnacentral:rRNA from 1 species